AAAAAGAUGGCAGAUAGGUUAUGUGGCUGGCUUGAAACUAGUUUAUGUGGGUUCGACUCCUACUCUUUUUG
rnacentral:tRNA from 1 species